rnacentral:rRNA from 1 species
GACGAACGCUGGCGGCGUGCUUAACACAUGCAAGUCGAACGAUGAAGCGGUGCUUGCACCGUGGAUUAGUGGCGAACGGGUGAGUAAUACGUGAGUGACCUACCUUUGACUCUGGGAUAAGCCUGGGAAACUGGGUCUAAUACCGGAUACGACCAAUCUCUGCAUGGGGUGUUGGUGGAAAGCGUUAUGGAGUGGUUUUAGAUGGGCUCACGGCCUAUCAGCUUGUUGGUGAGGUAAUGGCUUACCAAGGCGACGACGGGUAGCCGGCCUGAGAGGGUGACCGGCCACACUGGGACUGAGACACGGCCCAGACUCCUACGGGAGGCAGCAGUGGGGAAUAUUGCACAAUGGGCGCAAGCCUGAUGCAGCGACGCCACGUGAGGGAUGACGGCCUUCGGGUUGUAAACCUCUGUUAGCAUCGAAGAAGCGAAAGUGACGGUAGGUGCAGAGAAAGCGCCGGCUAACUACGUGCCAGCAGCCGCGGUAAUACGUAGGGCGCGAGCGUUGUCCGGAAUUAUUGGGCGUAAAGAGCUUGUAGGCGGUUGGUCGCGUCUGCUGUGAAGGCCGGGGCUUAACUCCGGUUUUGCAGUGGGUACGGGCUAACUAGAGUGCAGUAGGGGAGACUGGAAUUCCUGGUGUAGCGGUGGAAUGCACAGAUAUCAGGAGGAACACCGAUGGCGAAGGCAGGUCUCUGGGCUGUAACUGACGCUGAGAAGCGAAAGCAUGGGGAGCGAACAGGAUUAGAUACCCUGGUAGUCCAUGCCGUAAACGUUGGGCACUAGGUGUGGGGGACAUUCCACGUUUUCCGCGCCGUAGCUAACGCAUUAAGUGCCCCGCCUGGGGAGUACGGCCGCAAGGCUAAAACUCAAAGGAAUUGACGGGGGCCCGCACAAGCGGCGGAGCAUGCGGAUUAAUUCGAUGCAACGCGAAGAACCUUACCAAGGCUUGACAUGCAUUAGAUCGCGUCAGAGAUGGCGUUUCCCUUCGGGGCUGGUGUACAGGUGGUGCAUGGUUGUCGUCAGCUCGUGUCGUGAGAUGUUGGGUUAAGUCCCGCAACGAGCGCAACCCUCGUUCUAUGUUGCCAGCGGUUCGGCCGGGGACUCAUAGGAGACUGCCGGGGUCAACUCGGAGGAAGGUGGGGAUGACGUCAAAUCAUCAUGCCCCUUAUGUCUUGGGCUUCACGCAUGCUACAAUGGCCGGUACAGAGGGUUGCGAUACUGUGAGGUGGAGCUAAUCCCUUAAAGCCGGUCUCAGUUCGGAUUGGGGUCUGCAACUCGACCCCAUGAAGUCGGAGUCGCUAGUAAUCGCAGAUCAGCAACGCUGCGGUGAAUACGUUCCCGAGCCU